AUAACAGGCCCGGCAGAAAAACAUUCUUAAGGUUUUUAAUUACAUUCUUUUGUGUCUGGGUUUUAUACACGGCUUUAGGUUUUUUCUGUCUGUUUCCCCUUCCCCCUUUCCUAUUUCCCCUUUGUUUUUCAAGCCAGGGUUUCUUUGUGUAGCUCUGGUUGUAUUGAUGAGGCUGGCCUUGAAAUCAGAGAUCUCCCUGCCUCUGGCUCCCAAGUGCUGGAUUAAAGGUGUGCACCACCACCACUUGUCCUCACUGUUGUCACCACUGGAUUUUGUUUUAUUUUCUGAGAUAGGNNNNNNNNGAAAGAAAAAGAAAGAAAAAGCCUCAGUGUGCUCGCUUUGUAUUUUCUGAAUCCUUACUGUAGGUGCUGUGCCUCACUUUAUUUAUUAAGGAAAUACCAUGUAGUGCUCCAUUCUUUUUACUGGUUGGUUUUGUUUUCUCCUUUUUAGGUAGUACUGGGAAU
ensembl:sense_intronic Gm12971 predicted gene 12971